GACGAACGCUGGCGGCGGGCUUAACACAUGCAAGUCGAACGGAAAUGCCCCGCUGUUGCAGGGUGCUCGAGUGGCGAGCGGGUGAGUAACGCGUGAGUAACCUUCCCUUGACUGAGGGAUAACUUCAGGGAACUUUGGCUAAUACCGGAUAGGAGCUCCUCAUGCAUGGUGGGUGUUGGAACGGUUCGGUGGUGGGGGAUGGGCGCGCGGCUUAUCAGCUUGUUGGGUAGGUAGUGGCUUACCAAGGCUUUGACGGGUAGCCGGCCUGAGAGUGUGACCGGCCCACUUGGGACUGUGCUACGGCCCGGACUCCUACGGGAGGCAGCACUGUGGAAUAUUGCCCGAUGGACCGAACCCGGAUGCAGCACCGCCGCCCUCGGGAUGAUGGCCUUCGGGUUGUAAACCGCUUUCGCCUGUGCCGAAGCGUGACUGACGGUAAUGUGUAAAGAAGCACCGGCUAACUACGUG
rnacentral:rRNA from 1 species